GCGGCGAACAGGGACCCGGAGCCAAAUAAACCCAGCUGCGGGAAGCACUACGUCAGGGUCAGACCCUGACGCUCGUCGCCCCAUCAUUGGCCCCGAGGCCGCCGGUGGCGCAGCCAAUGGGCGGCCGCCUCUUUCCAGAUGCAAGGGGAGGGCCGCGGCAGCGUGACGUCACCGGAGAGCUUGCGGAUUGUGAGGCCGCGGCCCAACCGCCCUCACCUGCGGAGGACUCUCCCCUGCCGAGAUAAAGUGGAAGAUACCUUAGGGCCAACACCUUAGGGCUGUGGGCUUCCCGGCUUCUGCUCAGUUUUGGUUUCACCGAUUUUUUUUUCCGGUACCAGGAAUUGAACCUACAACCGUCACAAUGAGCUACAUAACUUUUGUUUUUAACCCCCCCUUUUUUUAUUUUUAGAGUCUUGAUGAGGCUCUAAAUUGCUCAGGAUGGACUCCAAUUUACCAUCCUCCUGCCUCAGCCUCCCAGAAUUUUGAGACAAGCCCAAGUCCCGUGUCUCAGAAGUGAACUGCUUGUAAACAUACACGUUCAUGAUGAGAAGCAAUGAAGACCUCACUUCUCUCUGCCCACUACUUCCAGGCGCUCAUCUUGGGUGAACACAAAUUUCUUAUGGUUACAAUUUCUGUAACUUUGAGGUACAAUUUUGCAACUGUACAAAGGAUUUCCAUAACUGAAAUCAGGAUGAGAAACAAGGACUCUUUCUUGUAUUACCAAGCAAGAAAGUACUGCUUUAGGAAGCCAACCCUAAC